UACAUGGGGUGCAAACGUUGCUCGGAAUUAUUGGGCGCAAAGCGCACGUAGGCGGUUCGUUAAGUCGGAUGUGAAAGCCCUCGGCUCAACUGAGGAAGUGCACCCGAAACUGGCGAGCUUGAGUACGAAAGAGGAUCGCGGAAUUCCCGGUGUAGAGGUGAAAUUCGUAGAUAUCGGGAGGAACACCGGUGGCGAAGGCGGCGAUCUGGGUCGAUACUGACGCUGAGGUGCGAAAGCGUGGGGAGCAAACAGG
rnacentral:rRNA from 1 species